GCCGCCGCGAGUCGCCGCCCAUCGGCCCGCCUGCCUUCAGGUAUGAAGCACUAGUAGAUAAAAGAUUCAUCUUCUCAUUUAACCUGCCAGCCUAAUCCCAAUGUCGCAGCAAUCUUCUGAUGUGCUUCCACUGAAACUCAGAUGCUGCGAGAAGAAGCUUUAUGACGGGUGCAUUUGAAGUCUGAUCGUCGAGAGGGUUCAUUGGUGCCCACCUUGCUGUUUCUUGCUUUCCUGCAAUGGGGAGGGAGGACCCACUUCGUUCUCGCCCUUCUCCAGCAAAUCCCUGAGAUCUGAACGGCGUGAAAGUGUGGAGCCUGGUUGUUCUGAUUGGCAUUCGAAUUUACUGAUGCAGGCGCCAGCAAGAGUCCUCAAGGCAGCAAGUCCACUGACAGGUACAAUAACCACAAAAGGAGCAGGAAGCAAUCGGAUGACGAUCCCUAUCUUGAAGGGCGCUAUUCCACUGCACAGAAAUCACCAAGAAAAGGGCGCAGCACUAAAAGAAGCUCCAGGCGUUCCACAAGAGAAGUCGCAGUAGUCGUGAUUCGUGAUUGAGGCAGCUGAAUA